GGUUAAGCGAUUAAGCGUACACGGUGGAUGCCCUGGCAGUCAGAGGCGAUGAAGGGCGUGCUAAUCUGCGAUAAGCGCCGGUAAGGUGAUAUGAACCGUUAUAACCGGCGAUACCCGAAUGGGGAAACCCAGUGUGACUCGUCACACUAUCAUUAACUGAAUCCAUAGGUUAAUGAGGCGAACCGGGGGAACUGAAACAUCUAAGUACCCCGAGGAAAAGAAAUCAACCGAGAUUCCCCCAGUAGCGGCGAGCGAACGGGGAGGAGCCCAGAGCCUGAAUCAGCAUGUGUGUUAGUGGAAGCGUCUGGAAAGGCGCGCGAUACAGGGU
rnacentral:rRNA from 1 species